rnacentral:rRNA from 1 species
UGUACCCUGGUAGUCCACGCCGUAAACGAUGUCGACUUGGAGGUUGUGCCCUUGAGGCGUGGCUUCCGGAGCUAACGCGUUAAGUCGACCGCCUGGGGAGUACGGCCGCAAGGUUAAAACUCAAAUGAAUUGACGGGGGCCCGCACAAGCGGUGGAGCAUGUGGUUUAAUUCGAUGCAACGCGAAGAACCUUACCUACUCUUGACAUCCAGAGAACUUAGCAGAGAUGCUUUGGUGCCUUCGGGAACUCUGAGACAGGUGCUGCAUGGCUGUCGUCAGCUCGUGUUGUGAAAUGUUGGGUUAAGUCCCGCAACGAGCGCAACCCUUAUCCUUUGUUGCCAGCGGUUAGGCCGGGAACUCAAAGGAGACUGCCAGUGAUAAACUGGAGGAAGGUGGGGAUGACGUCAAGUCAUCAUGGCCCUUACGAGUAGGGCUACACACGUGCUACAAUGGCAUAUACAAAGAGAAGCGACCUCGCGAGAGCAAGCGGACCUCAUAAAGUAUGUCGUAGUCCGGAUUGGAGUCUGCAACUCGACUCCAUGAAGUCGGAAUCGCUAGUAAUCGUGGAUCAGAAUGCCACGGUGAAUACGUUCCCGGGCCUUGUACACACCGCCCGUCACACCAUGGGAGUGGGUUGCAAAAGAAGUAGGUAGCUUAACCUU